rnacentral:rRNA from 1 species
GGCGGCCUAAUAAUGCAAGUCGAGCGGACAGAUGGGAGCUUGCUCCCUGAUGUCAGCGGCGGACGGGUGAGUAACACGUGGGUAACCUGCCUGUAAGACUGGGAUAACUCCGGGAAACCGGGGCUAAUACCGGAUGCUUGAUUGAACCGCAUGGUUCAAUUAUAAAAGGUGGCUUUUACCUACCACUUACAAAUGGACCCCCGCCGCAUUACCUAGUUGGUGAGGUAACGGCUCACCAAGGCAACAAUGCGUAGCCAACCUGAAAGGGUGAUCGCCCCCACUGGAACUGAGACACGGCCCAAACUCCUACGGGAGGCACCAUUAGGGAAUCUUCCCCAUUGAACAAAAGUCUGACGGACCACCGCCCCGUGAUUGAUGAAGGUUUUCGGAUCGUAAAACUCUGUUGUUAGGAAAAAACAAGUACCGUUCAAAUAGGCCGGUACCUUGACGGUCCCUAACCAAAAAGCCACGCCUAACUACAUCCCACCACCCCCGUUAAUACUUAGGUGGCAAGCUUUUUCCGGAAUUAUUGUGCGCAAACCACGCCCAGGCAGUUCCUUAUUUUUAAUUUGAAAAACCCGCGCCCACCCCGGGGGGGGGCGUUGGAGAACGGGGG